ACAUGUGCUCGCUAUCCGGGCGGCUCGUUCACGUCUUGAGAUGUGGCGCAUUCAAUAACGCAGGAAUAUUCGAGAGACCAAAUAUUGAUGGGAAAUAGAGAAUACGUACAGUUACCGUUACCUCGUCGGAGUUGAUCCGUGGCUCGGGACGACCGCCGCCGUCCUGAUCCGUGGAACAGGAAAAACUGUUUCCGUCUGCCGUCUGAGCAGCGGGCUUGGUUGCUGCCUUCGAUCCAUUCGCUCGAGGCCGCCGUGCCAAGGAUCCGUGCCGGCGUGCGAAGGAGCAUCUCGAAAUCUGGCUCCUGGAGCUCGUGAUGCAGCCAGUAAAAAGGUAUGCGCCAAAAACAUUGAUGUGUUCCAUCAAUCUUGUUGACGUAUUCACUGAUUAGAUCAGCGCUCCAUUGCCAUCGGAAAAUCCCAAUGCAGCCCGUCGAUUGGAUUUUUUUUUGUUUAUCUGCUAUUCGUCCGUCCUCGAUCUUUCUUCAUUUUGGUUGGAUUGUUUCUUGUCGACACCAGAUCCACUUUUGACGAAGGAGGCCGAUGAAAGUACAACGCUGAAAGGACGUGUAUGUCGCCUAGAGGGGGUGAAUAGGGGCUUUAAAAUAAUUACGGUUUAGGUUUGAAUAAAUGCGGAAUAAAACUAACGUUUAAUUUGUCAAGCACAAAACCUAAAAUAACUAGGCUCACCUAUGUGCACCAACAACUUAUGCUAAGCAAGAUAAACAACUAAGUGAUAGCAAGAUAUAUGAUAAUACACAAUAUAGCUAUCACAAAGUAAAGUGCAUAAGUAAAGGGUUCGUGUAAGAGAUAACCGAGCACGCGGAGACGAUGAUGUAUCCCGAAGUUCACACCCUUGCGGAUGCUAAUCUCCGUUGGAGCGGUGUGGAGGCACAAUGCUCCCCAAGAUGCCACUAAGGCCACCGUAAUCUCCUCACGCUCUCGCACAAUGCAAGAUGCCGUGAUUCCACUAAGGGACCCUUGAGGGCGGUCACCGAACCCGUACAAAUGGAAAACCUUGGGGGCGGUCACCGAUACCCGUACAAAUUGCUCGGGGCAAUCUCCACAACCUAAUUGGAGACCCCGACGCUUGCCCGGAGCUUCACACCACAAUGAUUGAGCUCCGAGACACCACCAAGCUUCUAGGACGCCAAAGCAUCCACGAAGAACAAUAUCUAGGGUACUAAGUACCAAAGGUAAUAAGCUUCUCAACUUCUCACUUCCACGUAUCACCGUGGAGAACUCAAACCGAUGCAACUAAUGCAAUGACAACAACACAUGAAGUGGUCAAGUCCCUCACACUCAAAACCCUCCACAACAACAAAAGCUAUGGAGAGAUAUGAGAGGAAGAACAAGGAGCUCACAAAGAACUCCAAGAUCUAGAUCCAAGGGGUUCCCCUCACAUAGAGGAGAAAGUGAUUGGUGGAGAUGUGGAUCUAGAUCUCCUCUCUCUUUUCCCUCAAGGACAAGCAAGAAUCAUUGGAGGGAUUGAGAGUAAGCAAGCUCUAAGAAUGUCCACAAUGGAGGUAGAACAUUAGCUCAACGGAUGGAUAAGGCCAAGGGGAAGAAGACCCCCUUUAUAUAGUGGGGGAAGGAAUCAGACCGUUACCCCCACUUACAGCCCGAGUCCAGCGGUACUACCGCUGACCCUCCAACGGUACUACCGCUGGCUGCUGCGGUACUACCGCUGAGCCCAUGGUAGCGCAAAGAUACUACCGGGCCAACCACCGCCAAGAAAGUCUUCGCAAAAAGUCCGACGUAGUACAACCGCAAAGAUGACGGUACUAAAGUUCUGGAGCGGUUCUACCGCUGACCAGGGGCGGUAGUACCGCUGGGACAGCGGUACUACCGCCAGCUCUAGCGGUACUACCGCUAGGGUCAGCGGUACUACCGCCAGCUCUAGCGAUACUACCGCUAGGGCCAGCGGUACUAGGUCCAGCGGUACUACCGCUCGCCACUGAAACAACCAUAACUUUCGCAUACGAGCUCCGAAUCGAGCAAACCCAUACUUGUUGGAUUCAGGACGACAAGAGCUAUCCAAACAGCGACUGAAAAUCUUAAGACCAUGCUGAUAUGAAAAUGCCAAUGAUCUAGAGAUGUGAGACCUCUAUGAAUGAAGAACCGGCAAAAGCUCCAACAUCGAAAACAUUAUAGUAGAUGCAUAUGGACUCCGUUUUCGAUGAACUCGAGCUUGUCAUGAAGAUGACCAUAAGCUCUAAAACUCACAAAGAGAAACACCAAAUAAGAAUCAAGAAGUAUGAUGCAAGGAUGCACAUGGUUUGAGCUCUCAACGAACGAUACGAUCAAGCUAAUCACUUGAGAGCCCCUUUGACAGUACAAAUUCUAUCCUAAACAGAAAACCUAUCAAGGGCAAACCUAUACCUUGCACCUCGACCUCUUGAGCUAGAUGAUGAUGAUCUUGGCUUCCUCAAGAUGGACCACCUUUCUUGAUUGCGUUGGCUUGAUGAGGACUAGUUGAUUGCUCCCCCAUACUCACUAUGGGUGAGCCACUCUUCAGCAUACCUUCACAAGUCCAUUGCCACCACAAUGGACGGCAAGUUUUAAGCACGAUAUAUUCGUGCUGAUCCUCUUGAACCUGCACACCGCAAUCUUGAUGACUAUCACCACUUGACGUCAUCCUUCAUGGGUUGUAUGAGAUCUUCCUUUUGACGCAAGCCCAUGGAAACACACCUAACCCACACAUAUAACUCUCACGAAGACCAUGGGUUAGUACACAAACACGUAAUGGACAAUGCUUACCAUACCAUGGGAUCACUUGAUCCCUCUCGGUACAUCUUGCACGCUUUGUGUGUUGCAUCUUGAUUUACUCUUUGUCUGAGAUCUUGAUCAACCUUGUGUCUCUAUGACCAUUCUUUGAAUAAUACCUUGAAUACCAUCUUGGUCAUCAUAUAAACUCCUUGAACCAACAGAUGGACUUCAAGAAGUGCCUAUGGACAAAUCCUAUAAAUAUAACUUAAGGCAACCAUUAGUCCAUAGGAAUUGUCAUCAAUUACCAAAACCACAUAUGGAGAUAUAUGCUCUAACAAGCGCUGACGGCUCUGCCGGCUUUCGGGACGGCAGGCUCUGUGCGGGAACGUGAUGAGACGACGGCCGUAGCCUUGACCGAAGGCCCACUAAUCUGUGAAGAAGAAACAGGCGUGGACUCAAGAUGGGAGGGCUGGCCACAGGUGCUGGAGAUGUCGACCGACAAGAUGAAACCAGCCACAAGCGCCAGGGGUGGGGGUGGUGCUCUGAACCAAAGAAUACAUUAUGAGUUUCACAAUCAGCGUAAAUUACAAAAUACUUGCAUAGAACUAUCAUAUUCUUCGUUACAAUAGAGGUGUGAGUGAACUGAUUUGUACAAUUUAGUCAUGAAAUGGUGAACAUGACCAACUUAUAAGUGUGGAUUAUGGGUUAGUGAAGUGUUGGAAAAAACUAGUUGGGCUAAUUGUAAAUCUAUGCCUUGAUCUAAUUUCACUCUAUGUAAUUUAUGUGCAGUACGUAAAAAAAUGUUUAAUUGUUUGCACUGGUAAUUUGCAGGCCAAUCGAGUGCAGAACACACGUUCCUGUCGUUCGGAAGGUCCUGCUCUGAUUCGGUUGCUAAGAUCAGAGGACAAUGGCUGGUACAUCACAGAACAUAGAGAGCCACAAUUGUUCAAUGUUCCAGGUGAGUCGUGGCUCAUCAUGUCGCGUAGCGUUACGAGCCGUGGAGCAGGAAAACCACUUUUCGGUUAGUGGGAGUUAUUGCUUUGAGCAAUGAGGGUGGUGGAUGUUGUCGAUUCGUUGGUGUAGCCGCUUGAUUCUUUGAUUGGUGACACAAAGGAGCUUGCAGCACAACUGUCUUGGGUAGGCGACUACGUCAUAAAGGCGAUGGAGUUCUUGAUGCAACUAAUUAAGAGGUAAGCCUUGGUUUCUCUUAUCUGCAGUUGGGUCUAAUGUGGUGUGACCUUCUCUGAGAUCAAUUUCCCCUGCGUGCACCUGUCAUAGUAGAUUCACUGUGUUGGAGGAGGUCAAUGAAAGUGUGCCUCGAUCUCGAUGGCUCCGCUACAUUUCUCUGUGGCUGCGUCCGUUGGCAAAGCUGGACCAAGCACCGGUGUCAGCCAUUUGUAGGCAUAAGCGGUGGUGGCUGCAGAAAGUGAAAGCUCGCCUCAAUCGUCCAAGCAGUCCACCGACAAGAUGAACCUGCAGGCACCUGGAUAGACUCUUGGUAUGUUCGUAAUUACAAAAUCCAUUUUAUGUCUUUUCAAAAGAUGAACCUGCAUGCACCUGGAUAGACUCGUAGGUAUGUUCGUAAUUACAAAAUCCAUUUUAUGUCUUUUCAGAUGGUUAAUUGGUGCUAGUUGCAACUGUGCUAUUGGGUAGCGGUGAUUCAUUUAAAAUAGAGUCUCCUUGUCCAAGAUUUAGGAUGCCAGGAGUUUGUUUUAUGUUAGUCAUUGGAUCUUGGGUGGCUAUUGCCCGAUGAUCGUUUCUCCACAAUCUCACUCGUCUGUUGAAAUUUGGUGCGGCUGGAUGUUCUUUGUGUCGCUCUUUAUCUGUUUCCGAGUCUUUAGUGUGUCGAGUUUGUGGGGGAUAUGUGUUCUUGGCCAUACGAUCCAGCACGGUUCUUGGAAUUAGCAUAAUUAUUGGUGGAUUGUUGCAUACUCGUGGACCCUUCUUCCUGCCUCAUGUAAUUACGGAGUUUCUCAUUGAGGGCAAAAGGG
rnacentral:lncRNA from 1 species